AUUGAACGCUGGCGGCAGGCUUAACACAUGCAAGUCGAACGGUAACAUAAAGAAGCUUGCUUCUUUGAUGACGAGUGGCGGACGGGUGAGUAAUGCUUGGGAAUCUAGCUUAUGGAGGGGGAUAACUACGGGAAACUGUAGCUAAUACCGCGUAGAAUCGGGAGAUGAAAGUGUGGGACCUUCGGGCCACAUGCCAUAGGAUGAGCCCAAGUGGGAUUAGGUAGUUGGUGAGGUAAAGGCUCACCAAGCCGACGAUCUCUAGCUGGUCUGAGAGGAUGACCAGCCACACUGGGACUGAGACACGGCCCAGACUCCUACGGGAGGCAGCAGUGGGGAGUAUUGCGCAAUGGGGGCAACCCUGACGCAGCCAUGCCGCGUGAAUGAAGAAGGCCUUCGGGUUGUAAAGUUCUUUCGGUAGCGAGGAAGGCAUUUAGUUUAAUAAACUGGAUG
rnacentral:rRNA from 1 species